GUCCAGGGGCGGGAAUCGAACCCACACCCUUCUGCUUACAGGGCAGGUGCCUUGUCCACUCGGAUACCCUGGA
rnacentral:tRNA from 1 species